UACGUAGGGUGCAAGCGUUAAUCGGAAUUACUGGGCGUAAAGCGUGCGCAGGCGGUUAUGUAAGACAGGGGUGAAGUCCCCGGGCUCAACCUGGGAAUGGCAUUUGGGACUGCAAGGCUGGAGUACGGCAGAGGAGACUGGAAUUCCUGGUGUAGCAGUGAAAUGCGUAGAUAUCAGGAGGAAUACCGAUGGCGAAGGCAGGUCUCUGGGCUGAUACUGACGCUCAUGCACGAAAGCGUGGGGAGCAAACAGG
rnacentral:rRNA from 1 species